GAGAAAGGCAGGCCAGAGAGAUAGAGACAGGCAGGCCAGAGAGCUAGAGAAAGGCAGGCCAGAGAGCUAGAAACAGGCGGGACAGAGAGAUAGAGACAGGCAGGCCAGAGAGAUAGAGACAGGCAGGCCAGAGAGAUAGAGUUAGUUGGGCCAGGGAGAUAGAGAGAGGUGGGCCAGAGAGAUAAAGACAGGUGGGCCAGAAAGAUAGAGAAAGGUGGGCCAGAGAGAUAGAGACAGGCGGGCCAGAGAGAUAGAGACAGGCGGGCCAGAGAGAUACAGACAGGUGGGCCAGAGAGAUAGAGACAGGCGGGCCAGAGAGAUAGAAACAGGCAGGCCAGAGAGAUAGAGAAAUGUGGGCCAGAGAGAUAGAGAGGUGGAGAGGUGUUGGGUUUGCGCUAGACAACACCUUUCAUCGGCAGCGACUGGGAAACUGGUCAGAAUUGAAGGAAUGAUGGAUGACGCUAAAUACAGGGAAAUUCUCAAGAUUUGAGACUAGGACGGAGGUUGCAGUUUUUUUGCAGUCAUGUCAUCCGUUAUCGUCCGUUAUCGUCCGCUAUCAUCCGUCAUCCGUUAUCUGCCCAACCCUGGGGAGGAGUCAAGGUUUGACUUUCAUUGGCCGGAGCAGUAAAUCUCAGCCUGAGUUUUUUUUUGUUGGUCACAGACAGGCAACAGUCACAACACCUUUAAUAAAACACACACCGUCAC
ensembl:lncRNA